GUGAAUUUUGUCCACCAGCUCUUGGUUCCCAAGUGCCUUUGAAUGAAUUUGAGUUGCUUACUGGUCUUCCUCCUUCUCCUACUUUCCAGUUCCUAGGUGAUGCUGAUGCUGCUGGUCCAGGGAUCACAGUUUAAGAACCGCUGGCCUAGACCAAGAGUGUGUUUACAGAAGUCCGGAUUCCAGGGUUCAUGAGCUCAGCCACAGAAAUACCACCCUGCAGAGAAAACUUUGACCUAAACAAACCAUCACAAGCUCCACCUUUCUACGCCCGGGAUAUCUCGCAGGGUAGCAACUGUGAGUGUGCUUCCAAACCUUCCAGAGAAAGUUUUCCUUUCCUUCAGCCGAGGCUGCAUUUUUCUACCUAAUGAGGUCCUGUGACUUGCAGCCCCCAUUUCUGGAGGCACCACAGUCUUCCAGAAAGGCUGGCUGGGAGAAUGCUAAGACUCAAGAGAUAAUAGAGUCAGGUGAGUGGAUAAACCAAGUGUGUUGUAGACACACAACAGAAUAUUCCUCAACUUCAGAAGGAAGGAAGGCUGAUGUACUUCAUACCAUGGAUGAGCCUGGAGGGCAUUACCCAAAGUGAAAGAAGCCAGACACAAAAGGACAAACACUGGAGAUUUCUUCCCUGGACGACAGAGUUGUCAGAUUUAUGGAGACAAAAAGA
rnacentral:lncRNA from 1 species